GAUGAGUAGGGCGGGACACGUGGUAUCCUGUCUGAAUAUGGGGGGACCAUCCUCCAAGGCUAAAUACUCCUGACUGACCGAUAGUGAACCAGUACCGUGAGGGAAAGGCGAAAAGAACCCCGGCGAGGGGAGUGAAAAAGAACCUGAAACCGUGUACGUACAAGCAGUGGGAGCACCCUUUGGGGUGUGACUGCGUACCUUUUGUAUAAUGGGUCAGCGACUUAUAUUCUGUAGCAAGGUUAACCGAAUAGGGGAGCCGUAGGGAAACCGAGUCUUAACCGGGCGUUAAGUUGCAGGGUAUAGACCCGAAACCCGGUGAUCUAGCCAUGGGCAGGUUGAAGGUUGGGUAACACUAACUGGAGGACCGAACCGACUAAUGUUGAAAAAUUAGCGGAUGACCUGUGGCUGGGGGUGAAAGGCCAAUCAAACCGGGAGAUAGCUGGUUCUCCCCGAAAGCUAUUUAGGUAGCGCCUCGUGAAUUCAUCUCCGGGGGUAGAGCACUGUUUCGGCUAGGGGGCCAUCCCGGCUUACCAACCCGAUGCAAACUGCGAAUACCGGAGAAUGUUAUCACGGGAGACACACGGCGGGUGCUAACGUCCGUCGUGAAGAGGGAAACAACCCAGACCGCCAGCUAAGGUCCCAAAGUCAUGGUUAAGUGGGAAACGAUGUGGGAAGGCCCAGACAGCCAGGAUGUUGGCUUAGAAGCAGCCAUCAUUUAAAGAAAGCGUAAUAGCUCACUGGUCGAGUCGGCCUGCGCGGAAGAUGUAACGGGGCUAAACCAU
rnacentral:rRNA from 1 species